CGUCUCCUUUCUCCCAUUGUGCACCCUCUGCCAGGCCCACUCCCCAAAGCCAGGCCCUGUCUCUGUAGACGGGCUCCACGGGGGAGAACUGGACACUUGGAGCAAGAGAAACAGGAGGCCAGCAUUCAAGCCUGCUGAGGUGCUGCGUGACCUGAGGCAAGUCAUGUAAACUCUCUGGGCCUCAGAGACCCCCAACUAUAAAAUGAGGAUGAGAAAAGUCUUUCCCAGCCCACCUCACAGGGUUGCUGCCAUCAUGGACAUAAAAGGAAAAGACCUUUGAAGGAAAAAGCAAAGAUGAAGAGUUCAGCACUUUCCUGGAAAAUUGACUAAAAAAGAAAAAGCCACUGGUACUUCUUUUAAAGAGUUCGCUUCAGAAUGAAUUCCACACGAGCAGCACCUGACGGUCUGAGAGAAAGAGAUUGGUCUUCAUGGAAAGGGGCAGUCCUACCUUUUGCAAAAACAGACAAAUCACAGCCCUUCCCACCGGGCAGAAUCCUGGGUCCCAGAGGAAGAUGAAGAGCACGUACAGUUUCUUCUCACCUCUACAGAGGACCAAAAAGCCAGCUGUGGAACCACUUGGCAAGCACGGGACCUGGGGGCCCCGCCUGCCAGGGAGGGAGAUGAGGACUUUAAAUCCUGAAUCUCUGCUCCAGUAUUUCGGAGGAGGGGAAUUUAGGAGUUCACUUCCUCUGUCUUGGCAUGAAGAUGAGAAAGGGUGGAAGUAAGCCGCUGACUCUGCCUGGCUGAGGUUUCCUCAUCUCCCGUCCCCACCCACCCAGGCCCACAUCCUCCCUGCAGACGCUGCGCACUAGGCUGGUCGUUGGAGGGCUGAGAGCCCCUUCCCUCUCCCUGAGGGACCAUGGGCAGGCCCCUCCCUGGGACCUGCUGCCAUCUUUAUGAAGACAGGCACUUCGGCUCCCCAGCCUGUGCUGAUGUGGACAGGUGACCAAGAGCUCCCGGGGUGCAGGAUGUGGGCUGCGUGCCAGAGAGUGCCGCCAACCUCAGUUAUGAAUGACCCACAUGGAGCCCAACCCCAGACCCAGGCUGACCAGACCAGCUUUCUGUGCCCAGGACUCUCUGGGGGCCUGGAGAGGACAAGGAGGUAGCUCUGUGCGUCUCCACCUUAACUUGACAGAGCUCAAGGUCAGUCUGUCUGACCUGACACACAGCAUCAGCUGCCUGUAAGAUUCAGGGUCACAUUCCUGGAAGGCGCCCCCCACCUUCUCACCUGUGUGUCCCUGGGACACCUCCCAAGCUCUGUGCCCCUGAGCCCAGCUUGUUCUCAUGAUCUCCCCAGCACUCCUAGGAAGAUGGCCCUAUCUGUAGCCUGCUGGAGGCAAAGAGCCGGCCCAGUGACUCCUAAGGACCCUAUUAUGUAGGAGCUAAAAAUCCUCCACACAGACACACGGGUAUGUGGCACAGACACACGGGCACACUGACCUCAGGCCUGUGUGUGAGUCAGAGCAGCCCGCAGUGAUGCGCCUGUGGCCCCUCACCCAGGCCAGCCGCCUGGAUAACCCCAAGAACUAGCCGAGGCCAGGCUGGGACUUGAUAUGAGGGACCCAAGAGAGGCCUGAGGCCCUUGGUGAGCCGGGGUGACAGGAACGCCAAACCAGGCAAUGACUCACAGGCAGACAGACAGAUGGUGAGACCCCCAGGGCUGGAUGAGGGGCUGGGAGCCCCUAGCUAUAGGUUAAGCAGCCCCAAGAAUCCUGACUCUGAAGC
ensembl:lncRNA